GGGGCUGUUAUUGGUAUCGACAUUUUAGAAAGAGUAGUAUUAUGAUGCAAGUCAAGAUUGAGUAUUUCUUGUUAAUAAAACUCAUUAAAAAUAAAUGUAAAUAAUAUCGUACCUUUUUCUCGUAAGGUCGCUAUCGCUUAAAGAUUAGUUUUAAAUAUUAGAACAAGAUUAAUCUAUACAAAACUUUAUAAGCAAAAAAUUGUGGAAAAAAUUUGAGCUUAAAAAAUACAAUUCCAAAUAAACAAAACUGAAUCUGAAAAUAUGUUUUCUUUGGAUAAUGCACAAAGAUAAACUUGUGAAUGAGUAUACUAUAUGAGCUAAAAUGGACGUGGGUUCAAAUCCCACCAGCUCCA
rnacentral:tmRNA from 1 species